rnacentral:rRNA from 1 species
UACGUAGGGUGCAAGCGUUAUCCGGAAUUAUUGGGCGUAAAGAGCUCGUAGGCGGUCUGUCGCGUCGGCUGUGAAAACUCGGGGCUCAACUCCGAGCUUGCAGUCGAUACGGGCAGGCUAGAGUUCGGCAGGGGAGACUGGAAUUCCUGGUGUAGCGGUGAAAUGCGCAGAUAUCAGGAGGAACACCGGUGGCGAAGGCGGGUCUCUGGGCCGAUACUGACGCUGAGGAGCGAAAGCGUGGGGAGCGAACAGG